UACGUAGGGGGCUAGCGUUGUCCGGAAUCAUUGGGCGUAAAGCGCGCGUAGGCGGCCAGAUAAGUCCGAUGUGAAAGUCACAGGCUCAACCUGUGAAUGCCGCUGGAAACUGUCUGGCUUGAGUCCGGAAGGGGCGAGUGGAAUUCCUGGUGUAGCGGUGAAAUGCGCAGAUAUCAGGAAGAACACCCGUGGCGAAGGCGGCUCUCUGGGACGGUACUGACGCUGAGAGCGAAAGCGUGGGGAGCGAACAGG
rnacentral:rRNA from 1 species